rnacentral:lncRNA from 1 species
GUUAUAAUUAUGUAUUUAUUAAUGUAUAAUAUAACUUUAAAUGUAAGCUUCUGAAAUGAAACUGUAUAUUUUAUGUUCAAAAAAUUGCUUUUACAAACCUCAUUUGUCUAUCUACAUCGUAAAACCCAUAACUGCCUGUUUCAAAAGUGAAAGUAUUGCUGGAAAUAACAUAAACAUAUGCAUAAAGCGCACCACUGUACAUUAUUGAUUUACAUGUCUAUCAAUAAGUAAAAUUAAUACAAGAUCCAACGAUUGGAUGCAGGAGUGGACAUUGAGUGAACUUAAAUCUUGUUUCUAUAAUUGAUUUACAAAAUAUCUGUUUAAAUCAGUGUAAGAAAACUGGUUAAUACUAAAAUUGACAU